rnacentral:rRNA from 1 species
CUGAACCAGCCAAGUAGCGUGAAGGAUGACUGCCCUAUGGGUUGUAAACUUCUUUUAUACGGGAAUAAAGUGAGCCACGUGUGGCUUUUUGUAUGUACCGUAUGAAUAAGGAUCGGCUAACUCCGUGCCAGCAGCCGCGGUAAUACGGAGGAUCCGAGCGUUAUCCGGAUUUAUUGGGUUUAAAGGGAGCGCAGACGGGAGAUUAAGUCAGUUGUGAAAGUUUGCGG